CCUGUUCCGCUCCCUCGCGCGCCGCGUACUGAUGCCUGAGCCGGACGAUGUCAUCUUCCGGCAUCAGUGUGGUGCGCGAGGGAGCUGAACAGGAAGCACUCAGACAGGGAGAGUGCUCCCUCGUGCGCCAGCCAGUCAGCCCGUCUGGUGACACCAGGGCCAGCCUCGGGGGCCCUGAGGUGGCCGGCUCCUGGGCCCCCCACGAGCUGCGACCCCGGUAUGUACGCCACUGCCGAUGGUGAUAUCACUGCUGGGGGUCCGGUGGCCGGGGAAGGCAGGUAAAGGUGAGUUUUACUUACCUG